ACGGAGGGUGCGAGCGUUGUUCGGAAUUAUUGGGCGUAAAGCGCGUGUAGGCGGUCUUUUAAGUCUGAUGUGAAAGCCCCGGGCUCAACCUGGGAAGGGCAUUGGAAACUGGGAGACUUGAAUACGGGAGAGGGUAGUGGAAUUCCUAGUGUAGGAGUCCCAUCCGUAGAUAUUACGCUGAACACCGGUUCCGCACGCGGCUACCUGGUCCGCUAUUGACGCUCAGCCUCGAAAGCUUGGGGAGCCAACAG
rnacentral:rRNA from 1 species